rnacentral:rRNA from 1 species
AUUGAACGCUGGCGGCAGGCCUAACACAUGCAAGUCGAACGAGUGGCGGACGGGUGAGUAAUGUCUGGGAAACUGCCUGAUGGAGGGGGAUAACUACUGGAAACGGUAGCUACUACCGCAUACCCUCAGAUGUGCCCAGAUGGGAUUAGCUAGUAGGUGGGGUAACGGCUCACCUAGUCGACGAUCCCUAGCUGGUCUGAGAGGAUGACCAGCCACACUGGAACUGAGAAACGGUCCAGCCUCCGACGUGAGGCAGCAGUGGGGAAUAUUGCACAAUGGGCGCAAGCCUGAUGCAGCCAUGCCGAGUGUAUGAAGAAGGCCUUCGGGUUGUAAAGUACUUUCAGCGGGGAGGCGUUACCCGCAGAAGAAGCACCGGCUAACGCCGUGCCAGCAGCCGCGGUAAUUC